GUUUUGAGCAAGCCUUCUUGGCUGGAAAAAGAACUUCUAAUUAACAUAAAAUAACAGCUUUCAAACACUUGACUCAGGAUAUGGAAUUGAAAAGGUGUGGGCUUGCAUUUCAGAGAACCAGACAGGAAGAACAAUGGUAGAGUGGCUGAGCACAAACGAUGGAAAAAAGCACUUGGAAGACCUCUCAAGAGGAACAGCAUGAGAGAGGCUGGCAGAGAAAAGGAGCCAGGGACACAGCAGGGACAAAGAGGAAAGCCUGACAGCUGCUGCCUAGGCAGGAAUGCAAAAUGGCUGUGCAGAAAAGCAUGCGGGAUCUGCCCAAGCGGGGCAGCGGCUGAGGGGGCCCUGGAUACCUUCCCCAUCUCUUGCUGCCUCCUGUCCAGAUCGGGGGAGCUGGAGUGAGGCUGGCUGUCAAAUAUCCGAAGGAAAGUGAGCAUCUGUCACCAGGGCCCACCGUAUGCUGCUCUUGGAGCCACUGCUCUCCUGGCUGGGUUUCCAAAGCACCCCAAUCUCAGAAGGUGUUAUAUCUCUGCAAACAGCAGCCUCUGGUCCCAGGCUGAGUCACUGUCACUGAAAAUCAAUACCGUCACUGGCCCGACCUCCGCCAGGUGAGCCUAUGAUGCUGGGAUGACAGCUGUGCACGUCCUGGAGCUGGGAGGCCUCAAAUCACCCCGAGGCCCCUCUGGCAACAGCUGGAAGGGAUGAGAAAGGAUGGAACAGGUCAUGUGACCAUUCCCACUAGAUACCAAAUACUGCAUGGGGCCUCCCAAAAUGCACAUCCUCAAUAAUGUCACGUGAAUAAUCGAAUUCCUCAACGGUUACACAGGAAAUAAACAAUUCUUAGAUCAUC
rnacentral:lncRNA from 1 species